GCAUAAAGAGAGUAAUAUUCGGCUUAUAGCUGAUAGUUUUCUGUAACCUACAGCGGGUGCAGACGUGAAACUGUGUGCAACGGCUCCAAAACAAUGGGCGGACCCACCUCAACACGAAUGGCCCGAGCUCAAAGGAAGGACGUAUGAGGAGGCAGUGCAGUUCUUAGCGCAGAAUCACCCAGGCUUGGAGCCUAUUCGUAUUCCGGAAGGGUCCCCGGUCACCCGAGACUUCAGGUUCGAAAGGGUGCGAAUCUUCGUAAAUCAGGAUGGUGUCAUCGUUGACGUUCCCCGGACUGGUUAAUUGGGCGACAGAUGCAACUAACUACUGACCAUGAGCAAGUGGAUGUGGCACGCAAAGAACUUUACUAAAGAAAAUCUGGAACACCUGGAAUCAGUAUAUUUUCAGACUAAAGAACUCUGUGUAGGCAGAGUUACAAAGUUUUUUUUAUCAACUCAGCUUUACAACGGUACUUUCUGGAAUUCCAUCUCGUUUUGGAUUUAUCAGUGCUGUUAUUGUUUUCUUUGUCCACCUCGAUCUGCAGAUUAGUAUAUAUAUGUGCAUAUACCGAUUGUAACUGCUCACACAGAGAUUGGCCGAUAGAAAGUUUAACUACAGGCACACUGUUAUGUCUCAUUCAUAUCUGUUCUGCUGAAAAAAAAACUCAUAAAUACAUAUACAAAAGGAAUAUUUUUUAUCCAUAUUAGUAAUAUCUUAAGGUUGAAUUUUGAGUUCCGCCACUAUUAUAGAAACUGUUUUCAAACAAGAGGGUGGAAGUAGCUACAACGGAUGCCCUUCUUGGGAGGGUACAGAAAUUAUUUGUGACCCAACCUUCUUCUAGCACAGAUUUAUUAUCCGUCACCUUUAUAGGUCUCAAGUUUUGGGCCAUAAAAUGCGAUGUUUGGCAUACCAAGUCUUUACUGGUGGUAAUAAACGCGCGUGAAUCUAUGCAGUGAAUACUGUUGGCAA